GAUGAACGCUAGCGGCAGGCUUAACACAUGCAAGUCGAGGGGUAGAGGAAGCUUGCUUCCUUGAGACCGGCGCACGGGUGCGUAACGCGUAUGCAACCUACCUUUUACAGAGGGAUAGCCCAGAGAAAUUUGGAUUAAUACCUCAUGGUAUAUAUCAUUCGCAUGUUUGAUAUAUUAAAGUUCCAACGGUAAAAGAUGGGCAUGCGUCCUAUUAGCUAGAUGGUAAGGUAACGGCUUACCAUGGCAACGAUAGGUAGGGGUCCUGAGAGGGAGAUCCCCCACACUGGUGCUGAGACACGGACCAGACUCCUACGGGAGGCAGCAGUGAGGAAUUUGGACAAUGGACGCAAGUCUGAUCCAGCCAUUCCGCGUGCAGGACGAAGGCCUUCGGGUUGUAAACUGCUUUGUACAGAACGAAAGGUC
rnacentral:rRNA from 1 species